rnacentral:rRNA from 1 species
UAGAGUUUGAUUCCUGGCUCAGGACGAACGCUGGCGGCGUGCCUAAUACAUGCAAGUCGAGCGGAAUGAUGAAGAAGCUUGCUUCUUCUGAUUUUAGCGGCGGACGGGUGAGUAACACGUGGGCAACCUACCUUGUAGAUUGGGAUAACUCCGGGAAACCGGGGCUAAUACCAAAUAAUCCAUUUUGCUUCAUGGCGAAAUGUUGAAAGGCGGCUUCGGCUGUCACUACGAGAUGGGCCCGCGGCGCAUUAGCUAGUUGGUAGGGUAAUGGCCUACCAAGGCGACGAUGCGUAGCCGACCUGAGAGGGUGAUCGGCCACACUGGGACUGAGACACGGCCCAGACUCCUACGGGAGGCAGCAGUAGGGAAUCUUCCACAAUGGACGAAAGUCUGAUGGAGCAACGCCGCGUGAGUGAAGAAGGUUUUCGGAUCGUAAAACUCUGUUGUAAGGGAAGAACACGUACGAGAGUAA